GCCGAGCUAAGUAACUAGAGCUUGUAACCCAAAUGGGGGCAUGAAGGUGAUAGAACAGUUCUUUGACUCCCUGGUUGAAGUUGUGACUGCUCUAAGUUGGCUUGCCCAUUCCGAGUUGAGAGUUGAGUGUUGUAGGGACUUGUGCGAAGGCAUAGGUCUCAUCACUCUUAGAUAAGAGGGCACUGCGUGAGGCUGGUUUCACAGAGCAGCGAUUACCUAUACCUCCCAACGAUGGAGGGAUAACAAGCUGCUGCAACCACACUCCAGGAUGACCUGGUCAGGCUCAGUUUCUUGGAUCUUCACCUUU
rfam:Phaseolus vulgaris cultivar G19833 chromosome 11, whole genome shotgun sequence.